AGUGAACGCUGGCGGUAGGCCUAACACAUGCAAGUCGAACGGCAGCACAGUAAGAGCUUGCUCUUACGGGUGGCGAGUGGCGGACGGGUGAGGAAUACAUCGGAAUCUACUUUUUCGUGGGGGAUAACGUAGGGAAACUUACGCUAAUACCGCAGACGACCUACGGGUGAAAGCAUGGGAUCUUCGGACCUUGCGCGAUUGAAUGAGCCGAUGUCGGAUUAGCUAGUUGGCGGGGUAAAGGCCCACCAAGGCGACGAUCCGUAGCUGGUCUGAGAGGAUGAUCAGCCACACUGGAACUGAGACACGGUCCAGACUCCUACGGGAGGCAGCAGUGGGGAAUAUUGGACAAUGGGCGCAAGCCUGAUCCAGCCAUACCGCGUGGGUGAAGAAGGCCUUCGGGUUGUAAAGCCCUUUUGUUGGGAAAGAAAAGCAGCAGGUUAAUACCCCGCUGUUCUGACGGUACCCAAAGAAUAAGCACCGGCUAACUUCGUG
rnacentral:rRNA from 1 species